GAGGAAAGCUCACCUGUUUUAACAGCAGUGCAGCUGCCCUUCCCCAGGCUGUGGUUGUUGGCCUGGCCUUUCUCAUCACUUGCCCUUUCUGUUUAGUGCUCAGAAGGGGAGACUGGGAUCUCGGAAGCUAAGCCUGUGGAGAGCCUUGCAGAUGACGAAGGCCUGGCUUGCGAAGUUCAGAGGGGAACGAAGAUCUAGCGUUGCUUGUAUGUGAUGUUUUGAAUUCAGAUAUGUAGUUCCAGUCAGCCAGAAGAGUUGGCUGUGGUUAACACCAGAUCAGAAUGACUAAGAAGGGCCAGAGUGCCCAGAAGUGAUCCACAUUCCAACCAGCACACUGCGUACAUGAUCUCUUUCCUGAAUCUGGGUAUGAUGGCCAUACUACUGUGGUUGGCACCCACACGUCUGUUGAAGCCACUUGCAGAGUUUUUAGUACCUCUGGACACGAUGAGGGACCGUUGGUAAGCAUGGCCAGCUCCCUCAGUAGGCAAUGCCACCUGCAGGCCCCACACUGGCCCCAGCUCCAGGUGCUUCAGUGGAAUGGGCUUGGUGCUGCUCCCACCUCCUGCUCUCCCUCCAAUGUCUGCAUCUAUGUU